rnacentral:lncRNA from 1 species
CUUGCUGUUUCUGUGGUUGGGAGAGAGGAAGAGGUGGGUGGGAGAGAAGUCUCCAUGGACCAUGUACCUGUCAUACUUGUGGAGCAGGAGCAGGAGAGAGGAGCUGGGGGACACCGAGUGGCCGCCCAGCCAGGUCUCUGGAGUGUGGAGAAUUGCUGAGCACAGCGCGGACUGCUUCCGCCCUGGGGAAAGGCACAUGAGAGAUGGAUGUGGCCGUAGGUACAGUUCCUGCAUUGGCGGCAGAGCAGAGGAAUCCACUGGGCAUGGAGUGAGGACCAGGCAGAGAGGCGGAGAGACAGGAUGGAGAAGGAAACUUCCAGAAGGAGCUACCUCAGCAGUCAGGCGUGAUGAGUUCCGGAGACCUUAAGGCUUAACAGACCCAGCAAUUUCACUCUCCAUCUCUGUGUCCAAGAAGCCCUUCAAGGAAGCAUUCACAAGGAUGUUUAUUGACUCUCGAUUAUGGCAAUUCUGACAGAAAUUGGAAACAACUCAAACGAUUGUUUCAAUCCGGCAAGAAGAUGGAAUAGUCACCCUACAGAACACGAUGCUCAGGCCAGAUUCUGUGGCUCACACCUUUAAUCCCAGCACUUUGGGAGGCCGGGGCAGGAGGAUCUCUUAAGCCCAGAUGCUCCAGGCCAGCCUGGGCAACAUGGAAAGACCCCACCUCUACAAAAAAAAAAAUACACAAAAAAUUAGCGAGGCAUAGCGGUGAGCACCUGUGGUCUCAGCUACUUGGUAGGCCAAGGUGGGAGGAUCACCUGAGCCCAGGAGGUCGAGGCUCCAAUGAGUCAUGAUCGAGCCACUGCACUCCAGCCUGGGUGGCAAAGUGAAACUGUCUCCAAAAAAAAAAAAAAGAAUAUAAAAUUAGAUCAAGGCCCGACAGACACAGUGGCUCACAUCUGUCAUCCCAGCACUUU